rnacentral:rRNA from 1 species
AGAGUUUGAUCAUGGCUCAGAAUCAACGCUGGCGGCGUGCCUAACACAUGCAAGUCGAACGCGAAAGUCCCGCGAGGGAUUAGUAGAGUGGCAAACGGGUGAGUAACACGUGGGUGACCUGCCUUCGAGUGGGGGAUAACGUCCCGAAAGGGACGCUAAUACCGCAUAACAUCCUGCUUUUUAAGAGGUGGAGAUCAAAGCCGGGGAUCGCAAGACCUGGCGCUUGAAGAGGGGCCCGCGCCCGAUUAGCUAGUUGGUGGGGUAAUGGCUCACCAAGGCAUCGAUCGGUAUCCGGCCUGAGAGGGCGGACGGACACACUGGGACUGAGACACGGCCCAGACUCCUACGGGAGGCAGCAGUGGGGAAUUGUUCGCAAUGGGCGCAAGCCUGACGACGCAACGCCGCGUGGAGGAUGAAGACCUUCGGGUCGUAAACUCCUUUCGAUCGAGACGAAUGGCCUCUGGGUUAAUAGCCCGGAGGAGUGACGGUACCGAGAGAAGAAGCCCCGGCUAACUCCGUGCCAGCAGCCGCGGUAAUACGGGGGGGGCAAGCGUUGUUCGGAAUUACUGGGCGUAAAGGGCUCGUAGGUGGUCAACUAAGUCGGACGUGAAAUCCCUCGGCUUAACCGGGGAACUGCGUCCGAUACUGGAUGACUUGAGUUCGGGAGAGGGAUGCGGAAUUCCAGGUGUAGCGGUGAAAUGCGUAGAUAUCUGGAGGAACACCGGUGGCGAAGGCGGCAUCCUGGACCGACACUGACGCUGAGGAGCGAAAGCCAGGGGAGCAAACGGGAUUAGAUACCCCUGUAGUCC